AUGGAUGAGUCUACUUUGGGGAGUCUUAGGCGUAGAGUGCCUAUUCUUGAUGGAGAAUAUUUUCAUGAGUGGAAAAAUGAAAUGCUUCAGAUUUUCAAUGAAUAUCACUUGAACAAGUAUAUUGCUAGCCCUUGUGCACCUCAUGUUGAUCCCAUGCAUCCUACCCUUGAUGAAUCAAUUGGCAUGAUUCACAAUCUUAGAACUGUUAAUCUUAUCACUAGAGGCUUGCCUAGAAACUUGAUUGGAUGUUUGCCGACUCUUAAGUGUGCCUACACCAUAUGGAAAUUUCUUGAGGAACUCUUUCCUAAUUAUUCCUUGAAAGAUCUAGAUGAAAUCCUCCAUAAGUGUAUUUCCUUGAUUAAGAUGAGUUCCAAUGAUCCCAAAUUUGGCGACUGCUUAAUUGAGCUUACUAAUCUUACGAGUGCCAAAGGAGAUGUUGGAGUUAUUAGCAAUAUUAUUUCUAGAGCUAUUAGAAUUCAUAAGAAUAACUAUAGAAAUGAUCAUUUAUCUAAUGAAUUGCCCUAUCUAGGAAUUGAUCAAUCACAAGAUGAUGUUGAACAUGAAUACUUGGAUGAGGAUGAUGACGAUAGUGACUAUGAUUUUGAUGAUGCGAUGAGACACUUUGGUCUUAUGGAAAAUCUUCGCGGCUACAUGGCUGGAGGAAAGGAAUGGGUCCUUGAUAGUGGAUGUACUGAUCAUAUGACCAGAGAUAAAGACAUGUUCCGUGAGCUUGCUGAAAAUGACGGCCUCGAAAGUAUGUCAUUUUUGGUGAUAAUUCAAAGGGUAAGGUGGUUGGCCUUGGUAAGGUGGCCAUCUCACAUGAUAGCUCCAUACAAAAUUUCAUGCUCGUUGAAUCUCUUGGCUACAACUUACUUUCAGUAUCUAGACUUGCAAAUUUCGGUUUCAAUGCCCUAUUUACUGAAAUAG
rnacentral:rRNA from 1 species